rnacentral:tRNA from 1 species
GCCAGCGUGGCUCAGAAGGUAGUCAUUAGGCCCAAAAUAAAUGGGAUGCGGCGGGCUGUUAACCCGUCGGUCGGAGGUUCGAAUAUAUUGAGAAAAUCCUCCCGCUGGCG